rnacentral:sRNA from 1 species
UUGACAACCCUGGACACUGAUGGCCUCUUUAUCUACAGAGCAGGUGCAACCCAGGCACCGGCACUGAAAACUUCUGCCGCCUGCCUAGGGGCCUCCACCCUGGCCAGGAGAGGCCAUCUCUAGGGCUGAGGAGGAGAGCAAUUUCCUCGGUCCAUUCGGUCUUUGGCUUCU